rnacentral:rRNA from 1 species
GACGAACGCUGGCGGCGUGCUUAACACAUGCAAGUCGAACGGAAAGGCCCUGCUUUUGUGGGGUGCUCGAGUGGCGAACGGGUGAGUAACACGUGAGUAACCUGCCCUUGACUUUGGGAUAACUUCAGGAAACUGGGGCUAAUACCGGAUAGGAGCUCCUGCUGCAUGGUGGUGGUUGGAAAGUUUCGGCGGUUGGGGAUGGACUCGCGGCUUAUCAGCUUGUUGGUGGGGUAGUGGCUUACCAAGGCUUUGACGGGUAGCCGGCCUGAGAGGGUGAACGGCCACAUUGGGACUGAGAUACGGACCAGACUCCUACGGGAGGCAGCAGUGGGGAAUAUUGCACAAUGGGCGGAAGCCUGAUGCAGCAACGCCGCGUGCGGGAUGACGGCCUUCGGGUUGUAAACCGCUUUCGCCUGUGACGAAGCGUGAGUGACGGUAAUGGGUAAAGAAGCACCGGCUAACUACGUG